AUGCAAUCCCUCGGGCAUCCCACCUCUGCGUCGGAACUGAGGGCGCUCGCCUGGACGACGCUCCUUGUUCCGAUGUGCGCGGUCUACGCGCGCUCCGCCUGCCGCCGCCUCCGUCCGGGCUGGCCCCGCCUCGCCGCAAUCCUCCCGACGCUCCCCGUCUUCAUCUACCUGCCGUGCUUGUUCAACUCCUACCACCUCCGCCUCUUCUCAACCUUCUUCCACACCUGGCUCGCCGCCAACAAGCUCGUCCUCCUCGCGUUCGACCUCGGCCCGCUCAAGCCAUCCCUGCCCCUCCUCCCAUUUCUCCUCUGCACCGGCCUGCCCAUCAGGCUCCGCGAAGGUCCACAGCCUACCAGCCAUUCUGCGUCGCCGGGACCGUCCGUCGCCGAUUUCCUUGUCCCCUGCGGCCGCAGCGUUCUCUUCCUCACCGGCCUCGCCCUGCUCUUUCCACACACUGGUUCGCUCCCUCUCUACGUCGUCCACUACCUCUACUGCGCACAGAUCUUUCUCACGCUCGAUCUCGUCUUCUCUUCCGUCGGCCUCGUCGCCGCUGCCGUGCUGGGCUCGGCCAUGGAGAGGCAGUUCAGAGCGCCGCUCGUCGUCGCGUCGGUUAACGACUUCUGGGGCCGGCAGUGGAACCUGAUGGCGGUGGACCUCCUCCGAGCGUCGGCGUACAAGCCGGUAAGAGACCGGUGGGGCCGGGACGCCGGCGUGCUGGCCGCGUUCCUCAUGUCGGGCGUCCUCCACGAGCUGCUCUACUGGUACAUGACGCUGGAGCCGCCCACGGGCGAGAUGCUGCUCUUCUUCACGCUCCAGGCCGCUUUCCACGUCGCCGAGCGGUGGGCGAGGGUUGCCGGGCUGUGGCGACCGCCCAAGGCGGCGGCGUACCUUAUUGGCACCACCUUUAUGGUCGUCACCAUAUCGGAGCUCUUCUUCGGGCCGUUCAUCAGAGCCGGCACAGACGUGCGUAUGAUUCAGGAGGCCGCCGACGCGGUGGGGUUGGUUAGGGCCGUCGCUAAGCGUCUCAUCGUCCGUCUAUUUGGGGAUGCUUCGAGUUAG
rnacentral:rRNA from 1 species